rnacentral:rRNA from 1 species
UUUUCUGAGAAUUUGAUCUUGGUUCAGAUUGAACGCUGGCGGCGUGGAUGAGGCAUGCAAGUCGAACGGAACGGUUUUAUAGCUGUUUAGUGGCGGAAGGGUUAGUAAUGCAUAGAUAAUUUGUCUUUAACUUGGGAAUAACGGUUGGAAACGGCCGCUAAUACCGAAUGUGGCGCUAUUUAGGCAUCUAGAUGGUGUUAAAGAAGGGGAUCGUAGGACCUUUCGGUUAAAGGGGAGUCUAUGUGAUAUCAGCUAGUUGGUGGGGUAAAGGCCUACCAAGGCGAUGACGUCUAGGCGGAUUGAGAGAUUGGCCGCCAACACUGGGACUGAGACACUGCCCAGACUCCUACGGGAGGCUGCAGUCGAGAAUCUUUCGCAAUGGACGGAAGUCUGACGAAGCGACGCCGCGUGUGUGAUGAAGGCUCUAGGGUUGUAAAGCACUUUCGCUUGGGAAUAAGAGAAGGCGGUUAAUACCCGCCGGAUUUGAGCGUACCAGGUAAAGAAGCACCGGCUAACUCCGUGCCAGCAGCUGCGGUAAUACGGAGGGUGCUAGCGUUAAUCGGAUUUAUUGGGCGUAAAGGGCGUGUAGGCGGAAGAGUAAGUYRGUUGUCAAAUCUCGGGGCUCAACCCCGAAUCGGCAUCUGAUACUAUUUUUCUAGAGGGUAGAUGGAGAAAAGGGAAUUUCACGUGUAGCGGUGAAAUGCGUAGAUAUGUGGAAGAACACCAGUGGCGAAGGCGCUUUUCUAAUUUAYACCUGACGCUAAGGCGCGAAAGCAAGGGGAGCAAACAGGAUUAGAUACCCUGGUAGUCCUUGCCGUAAACGAUGCAUACUUGAUGUGGAUGGUCUCAACCCCAUCCGUGUCGGAGCUAACGCGUUAAGUAUGCCGCCUGAGGAGUACACUCGCAAGGGUGAAACUCAAAAGAAUUGACGGGGGCCCGCACAAGCAGUGGAGCAUGUGGUUUAAUUCGAUGCRACGCGAAGGACCUUACCUGGGUUUGACAUGCAUAUGACCGCGGCAGAAAUGUCGUUUUCCGCAAGGACAUAUGCACAGGUGCUGCAUGGCUGUCGUCAGCUCGUGCCGUGAGGUGUUGGGUUAAGUCCCGCAACGAGCGCAACCCUUAUCGUUAGUUGCCAGCACUUAGGGUGGGAACUCUAACGAGACUGCCUGGGUUAACCAGGAGGAAGGCGAGGAUGACGUCAAGUCAGCAUGGCCCUUAUGCCCAGGGCGACACACGUGCUACAAUGGCCAGUACAGAAGGUAGCAAGAUCGUGAGAUGGAGCAAAUCCUUAAAGCUGGCCCCAGUUCGGAUUGUAGUCUGCAACUCGACUACAUGAAGUCGGAAUUGCUAGUAAUGGCGUGUCAGCCAUAACGCCGUGAAUACGUUCCCGGGCCUUGUACACACCGCCCGUCACAUCAUGGGAGUUGGUUUUACCUUAAGUCGUUGACUCAACCCGCRAGGGRGAGAGGCGCCCAAGGUGAGGCUGAUGACUAGGAUGAAGUCGUAACAAGGUAGCCCUACCGGAAGGUGGGGCUGGAUCACCUCCUUU